CGCGAUAAAACGUGAACCCACACACGCAUCGACACAUGGUCCCGGGUGCCGCCAAUGCGGUCGGACCCAUGGGAUGCGUGGAGGCCUAAC
rfam:Kushneria sp. YCWA18 contig12, whole genome shotgun sequence.